UACGUAGGGGGCUAGCGUUGUCCGGAAUCAUUGGGCGUAAAGAGCGUGUAGGCGGCUCGGUAAGUCCGCUGUAAAAGUCAAAGGCUCAACCUUUGAAUGUCAGUGGAUACUGCCGGGCUAGAGUCCGGAAGAGGCGAGUGGAACUCCUGGUGUAGCGGUGGAAUGCGCAGAUAUCAGGAAGAACACCAACGGCGAAGGCAGCUCGCUGGGACGGUACUGACGCUGAGACGCGAAAGUGUGGGGAGCGAACAGG
rnacentral:rRNA from 1 species